GACGAACGCUGGCGGCGUGCUUAACACAUGCAAGUCGAACGGUAAGGCCCUUCGGGGUACACGAGUGGCGAACGGGUGAGUAACACGUGGGUGAUCUGCCCUGCACUUCGGGAUAAGCCUGGGAAACUGGGUCUAAUACCGGAUAGGACUCCUGGCUUCAUGGUUGGGGGUGGAAAGCUUUUGCGGUGUGGGAUGGGCCCGCGGCCUAUCAGCUUGUUGGUGGGGUAAUGGCCUACCAAGGCGACGACGGGUAGCCGGCCUGAGAGGGUGACCGGUCACACUGGGACUGGGAUACGGCCCAGACUCCUACGGGAGGCAGCAGUGGGGAAUAUUGCACAAUGGGCGAAAGCCUGAUGCAGCGACGCCGCGUGAGGGAUGACGGCCUUCGGGUUGUAAACCUCUUUCAGCUAUGACGAAGCGCAAGUGACGGUAGUAGCAGAAGAAGGACCGGCCAACUACGUGCCAGCAGCCGCCGUAA
rnacentral:rRNA from 1 species